UACAGUGACCUGUGGGCCAUAGAUAGCCAGGGAGCCACAGUGUAAGACAUUUGGAGACAUCACAUGGUGUUCUGAUGAAGAAGCUAAGGCAGAGUCCUCUAGCUCUCAUAUAUCAACCACAGAGGAAGUUAAAUGGGUGGCCACAGUACAAAAGCAGCUCCAAUAAAGCCAACGAACAUGCAUUAGAAACUCAAGCUUCUCAUCACCAAAUGGUUUCACGAUAGAAGAAUGCUCAACAGAAGGGAACCCCAAAUCACUUUAUUUACAGAAACCUGUGAAGUGCAGUGGUGGUACACACCUGCAAAGCAAGGAUGCC
rnacentral:lncRNA from 1 species